rnacentral:rRNA from 1 species
UCNUACGNGAGGCAGCAGUGNGGAAUCUUGNNCAAUGGGCGCAAGCCUGAUCCAGCCAUGCCGCGUGAGCGAUGAAGGCCUUAGGGUUGUAAAGCUCUUUCGUGGGGGAAGAUAAUGACUGUACCCCUAGAANAAGCCCCGGCUAACUCCGUGCCAGCAGCCGCGGUAAUACGGAGGGGGCUAGCGUUGUUCGGAAUUACUGGGCGUAAAGCGCACGUAGGCGGUUGGNCAAGUCAGAGGUGAAAUCCCNGGGCUCAACCUNGGAACUGCCUUUGAAACUGUCUNUCUUGAGUUCGGGAGAGGUGAGUGGAAUUCCGAGUGUAGAGGUGAAAUUCGUAGAUAUUCGGAGGAACACCAGUGGCGAAGGCGGCUCACUGGACCGAUACUGACGCUGAGGCGCGAAAGCGUGGNNAGCANNCAGGAUUANAUAC